rnacentral:rRNA from 1 species
UACAGAGGGUGCAAGCGUUGUUCGGAAUUAUUGGGCGUAAAGCGCGUGUAGGCGGCUUUGCAAGUCGGGUGUGAAAGCCCUCAGCUCAACUGAGGAAGUGCGCCCGAAACUGCAGAGCUUGAGUACCGGAGAGGAUGGUGGAAUUCCGGGUGUAGCGGUGAAAUGCGUAGAUAUCCGGAGGAACACCGGUGGCGAAGGCGGCUUCCUGGACCGACACUGACGCUGAGGCGCGAAAGCUAGGGGAGCAAACGGG